CUGCGGACUUAAUUGAAUUGAACCUUGGUAUGAAAACCUAUUAAGUGGUAGCUUCCAAAUUCAGAGAAACCUUGGAAUGAUAAAUGGGCAAUCCUGAGCCAAAUCCUGUUUAAAGAAAACAAGGGUUCCUAGAAAGCGGGAAGGAUAGGUGCAGAGACUCAACGGAAGCUGUUCCAACAAAUGGAGUUGACCUCGUCGAUAGAGGAAGAAAUCCAUAUAUAGGACUCCGGAAGGGAUGACCCUAUGUAUUGGUAUUGAAUUGAAAUAUUCAA
rnacentral:ncRNA from 1 species